GCGAGGAGAGGGCGCGUCAGUGGGGCAGCACGACGGGGCCCCCGCCUGUGGGCCGCGACCCGCGGGGGGCGGGGGUGCCGGCAGGAGGGGGCCAGGCCGUCCGAGGGGCGAGGAGUUUGAAAUUAGGAAAGUGGGGGAGGCUCUGAGUGUGUGAGGUUACCCGAGUGUGCAAGAUAGGCGUUUGCGCAGUGAUGUGAAUAUUUCUGUUGGUGGGAACAUGGCAAGGUCACAAGUGCGCAAAAUAGAGUGAGGUUAUGCAAGGCAGAGCGUCAGUGUAUGAAGUUGUGUGAGCAGGUGAGGCCCUGGGAGUGCACGAGGUUAAACGAGUGUUCAAGGACACGAGUGGACAAAGCAGAGGAGUUUGCAUGAUGGUGUAUGUCUGUUGGUGGGAACACACCAAGAUCUCUAGUGUGCAAAACAGGGCGAGGUUAAGUGAGUCAGUUUUAAACUGUGAAGUUAUAUGAGCAGGUGAGGCUCUGUGAGUGUGAACUUAAAUGAGUGUGCACAGGUUUUGAACCACACAAGAGAGAAUGAGUGUGCAAGAGCAUGAGUGCCUAAGACAGUGAGUCUGUGUAGUAACGUGGAUAUUUGCAUUGUGGGAGUGUGCAAGGUAGUGGAGGCCCAAAGUCAUGAGUGUGCAAGGCAGUGCAUGCACAGAGGGUGACUGAGAUCACGCAAGUGUAACAUAAUGGGACCUUAACAUAAGGUUAUGAGAGCAUUCGCGGUCUUCAGUGUGCAAGGAAAGGCCAGGUUGAGUGAGGGUACAAGACCUUGAGGGUCAAAGGGUGCAAAGGUAUGUGAGCAGGCCAGGCACUGUGAGGUUAAACAUGUGUGCAUGGUUAUCCUAGUGUGCAAGGUGAUGCAAAUGCGGAGGCUCAUGAAUGGAUCAGACAGUGAGUUUGCACGGUAGUGUGAAUGUUGGAGAGCAUGGAACUGGGUUGGAAAGCAUGGGAGAGUGUGUAUUUGUGCAAGGCCGUGUGUAUAGAGGACUUUUAUGGGUGUGCAUGUCAGUGUCUUUUGACAAUAUGAGAUCAUGAGUGCAAUGCAGUGUGAACACAGUCGGGUGAGUGCCCAAGGUCCUGUGGAGGUGACAUUAUGGUUGUGUGAGAGGUUCUGAGUGUGCAAGGCCAUCUGAGUGUUAAAGCACAAAGUAGUAGGAGGCACUUGAGGCUAAAUGAGUGUGCGAGCUUGUGGGCAUUAGUGAAGCAGACCAGGUAAGACCAUGUGUAUGCAGGACUGUGGUGUGUACAAGGAGAUGUCAGCAAUGAAGACCUCGCGGUCCAUGAGUGUGAACAUGUGACCUCCUGGGAACAAGACUCUGUAAGUGUGCCAUGGUGUGAAUAAGAGGCAGCACAGGGUAGUGGUUAGGAGCAUAGACCCCAGAGCCAAGCUGCUGGGUCCAGAUCUUCCCUCUGCCCUUACUAGCUGUGUAACCUUGGGCAAGUCACUUAACCUCUCUGUGCCUCAGCUUCCUCAUCUGUCAAACAGAGAUAAUAAUUGCCUCUUACCUUGUAGAGUUGUUUGAGGUUUAAAUGAGUUACUGUCUCUGAAAAACUCUGGAAGGGAAGCUAUGUGUGUGAUACUGUGAUUCUGCAGAGUUGUGCUAGUGUGUGAGGUCACCUGCGUUGUAGGAACAAGCUGAUACAAAGCUGACAAGAUAUCUUCCUACUCCACCCCCAUCCCACCCUGCUGUGCUCCCCAGGGCUCCACCCAAAACCUCCUCCCCAUCCUCCUGGGUGAUCGCGUCACCUCGUGUUUUUAUAACUGCUGUCUGCGUCCUGCUGACUCCCCCGCAUACAUCCCAGCCCCUUCCCUUCCAUUCUGCAGCUCCAGACGUCAACGUCAGCCUGGAGGUAGAAGCCCCCUCGAAGUUACACAGUCACCUCCAGCUCAUCAUCCCCCACCCCACACACCCUUGUGCUCCCUUCUUGAUCUUUCUUUCCCACUGCAGCUCCCUGGAAAGCCAGGCCUGGCUUCAUCUUUGCAGCUCCCGCAUAGAGAACAGGGCCGGACACAUAACGUUCACUGAAUGGAGAGGGGAGAUUCAGAGCCUUUGUCAUAAACACAAGCGGAGACUUUCCCCUGGUUAACCACAAAAACCCAAUGGCCUUCUCAACAAGUCCUCUGACCCGGGGUGGCUGGGUACCUGCAUCCGUCAGCCAGCUGGAGUGGAAGCCCCACGAGGGCAGGGAUCUUUCCUGUUUUGUCCUCUCAUGUAUCCCCCUCACCUGGAACAGUGCCCGGCACAUACAGGUGCUUCAUGAAGAUUUGCUGAUUGAUUGGCUGAACCUGUCCAGAAACUCCGUCUUGUUGUGUGACCUUGGGCAGCUCUCUUUUCUUCCGGCCUCCAUUACAUCGGUCAGUGACAGGUUGGAUAUGAAGCUCUCUAAGGUUUCGUCUAACUUUGGGGCGCUGGGUUUCUAAGAACUGGGGCACUGUGACUCUGGAGGCGAAGGAGCACACGUCCACACUGCCUGGUCCCCCCCGGCACUGGCUGCUCCAGCCCAGGCUCCCACUCCUCGCCCGCCCAGCCCUUUCUGCAUGCAGAGCCCCGUGAGGCUCGGGUACUAUGCAGAGGGCUCACUUACACCUCUUGGCAGCCCUGUGAGGCGGGUCCCAUGAUGAUGCUCAUUUGCAGGAGAGGAAGUCGGUGGUUUGAGAGGUUAAGCGGCUUGACCAAGGAAGCAGGAUCCAAACCCAGGUCUCUCCCAUGCCCAAGCUCAUGCUCUGAGCCCCUCAUUCUCAAUCCUGGCGGCACCUCAGAAGCACCAGGGAAGCUUUAAAAAAAUACUGAUCCCUGGGCCUCACCGCCAGGAAUUCUGGUUUAAUUUGUUGAGGAGGCCCCUGGUGCUCCCAGGGAGGCGUACAGCAGGCGGAGCCACCGCGAGUAAGAGGGAUGUCAGGUCUCUCCUCCCUUCCAUGACCAGCCAUGAAAAACCAAUGAUCACAGAAUAUCAGGUAUGAAAGGGCCCAAGAGAAAUGGGGAGAGACAGAGAGAGCGGAGAUCUCUGGGAAUGAUCUCAUAGAGGAAGACGCAAAUAUGACCUCCAUUUCCCCAGUUUGGACUGAUGUUCAGAGAGCUUAUGUGUCUUGUCCAAAGUCACACAGUGAGGAAGGAGCAGAAUUGAUAUGUAGACUGAGGUCUGACUCAAGCUGAGAAAGUGGAAAAUGGGACUGCGUGGCAGGUGCAAAACACAGAGAAAUGACAGUGUGGUGCAAAGGAUGAAAAAAUGGGGAGACGGAUAGAUGGAAAACUAGUAUGUUCCGCUUUCCCAGCUCAUGCACAUGUGGUCACAUUGUAUGGGAGGCGGGGAGACAGAAAGAGACGUGGAGUCAGACACAAACUGGCUUCAAAUAGCAUCGAAGCGGGGGAACCUUGGACAAGCUACUUGUUCUGAUUCUCGAUUUGUUUAUCUGGAAAAUGGAAAGAUAAUACCCACUUUCCAGGGUUUUGGGAAAGAUUAAAAAGGAGACAACAAAAAAUGGAAACAAUUCAGAUGUCCAUCAACCAGCAAGUGGAUAAACUGUGGUCAACAACCACACAACAGAAUACGAGUCAGCAAUAAAAAGUAGCAGACUCUGACACCCACAACGUGGAUGGACUGCUGAUACGUAGAGCAUGGGAGGAUCUCAGAAACGUGCCAAGUGAAUGAAGCCAGAGGCCAAAGAGUACAAACCGGAUGAUUCCAAUUACGUGAGAGUCUAGAAAAAGCUAAUCUGUAGUGACAGGAAGCAGAUCUCUGGUUAUCAGGCUGGAGUGGAGGGAUCAGGGUGAACGGGCACGAGGGAACUUUCUGAGUUGAUGGAGAUGUUCUGUGUCUUGGUUGUGCUGGUGGUAACACAGGUGUACAUUUGUCAAGAUGGUGCGCUUAAAGUGCAUUGUAUUGCAUGGAAACUAUACCUCGACAAAGUGGAUUUAAUAAAUAAAUAAUUUGUAAAUAAACUUUUAAGAAAAAAAAAAACCACCCAGCACAGUGUCCUGCAAAUAUCCAUCAGGAGAUCCUGGCAGCUCUCCUUUCCAAGUGAGUCUAGAAUCCGGCCACUUCUCACCACCCCCACUGCUACCGGUUGGCUACCGGAGCCCCCAUUAUCACUCACCUGGAUUUUCAUAACGGCUGCCACACUGGGCUCCUGCUUCCGCCUUUCCCUCUUGCAUCUAUUCCUAACACACCAAUCAGAGGGAGUCUGUUCAAACGUAGUAAGUCAGAUCACAGCACUGCUCUGCCCCUUCUCACUCAGAGGAAAAGUUGAAGUCCUUAGUGGCCCACAAGGCCCUACCUGACUUCAUCUCCAUCACUCCUCUGUCCUCACCUCCUUCCGUUCUCCCCUUUCUCCCACUGCACUCUAGCCACAAUGGUCUCCUUGCUGUUCCUCCCGCACAAUAGCCAUGGUCCUGCCUCAGAGCCUUUGCAUUUGCUGUUCCCUCUGUUUGGAAUGCGCUUCCUCCAGCUUUCUGCAUGGCUCACUCCCUCACCAUCUUCAAGCCUUUAUUCAAAUGCCAUCUCCCUGAAGGCUCCCUGACCACUGUCUUUAAAAUGAUAACCUCCACCUAAGAUCUUAUAGCUCCCUUCUUUGCUUUCUUUUUCCUCAUAGCACAUCUAAUAUAACAUAGUUUGCUUUUUCUCUUGUUUAUCGACCGUCUCCUCCCUGGAACGUCAGUUCCGUAGGGGCAGGGAUUCCAUUCUCUUUCGUUCGCUGCUGUAUCCUCAGUGCCUAGGACAGCACCAAAGAGGUCCUCAGUAUAUGUUUGUUGCAUGAAUGCAUGAAUGAAUGAAUGAACAGUGUGCAUUCUAUAGCUGUUGAUUCUCUCCUUUCUGCUCUCUCCAUCUGAAAACAGCUCUGUGAACAUGACCAGAAAGGUAUUAAUGGUUCCUGUCAGAGUCACCCAAGAUGACACAACUAGUUAAUAUGCCAGAGCCGAAACUUACAUCCAUGGCUGGCUGUGCUCUUUCCACUUGUCUCAGAAAAAAGAAAAAGUAUGAAAGGGGAAAGCGAACAAGAAGAGAAGAUGGCAGAGAAGAUAUCGCCCUUCUGCUUUGGAUCGAAUAACCUGGGUUUUAACCUUAACCUUGACACCGAGUAGUUCUAAAACGUGCAUGAAGUAUUCAAGCCUGCUGAGCCUCAGUUUGUCUUUCUGUAAAAUGGAGGUAACGAUACCUAUUUCCUAUGGUCAUUCGUUCCUUUGAAUUCAACAAGUGUUUGCUGUGGACCCUGCCUUCUUGGUGCUGGGUGUGGGGGACGCAGCGGUGAACAAGUAGACAGAUCCCUGCCCUCAAGGGGCUUGGAGUCUAGUGCCAGGAACAGUCUAGAUUUAAUCAACCAUCACAAAAAUAAACAUUAGGCAGCCCCAGCCAUGGUCCAGAGUAAUGGUGGUCCAGGUCCUGGGUGACAGGAGAGUGGGGAGGGUUGGUUGACCAAAGAUUAAGUGAACUAUAUGUGAGGCAAGCAGCAUAUAGUCGGUGCUCAGUAAAGGCUAGCUUUUUGGCAGGUCAGAGUCUUUGCUCAGAAAAGCUGGCCCAGAAAGGAUUAACUGGAAACAUGCAAAGGAGCCAGAGAGGACAGAGAGAACUCAGACGGAGGGAAUGAGACCAGCCCCGAUUUUCUGCCUCUGCCUGGUGGCUUGUGAGGGAGCAGGCAUGUGCCCGGAAUGCCCACCCCUGACUCAGGAGGCCUUAGAGCCUGCGUCCUUGGGAGGAAGAAGAUUUGGGGGUCUGUUCAUCAGUGAGACCUGCCUGCACACCCCCUGAACACACACAACAGAGCAGUUUCUGGAAGCCACGUCUAUAGUGCAAGACCCGCCCUCUGGCCAGAGAUUAUGACUUGAUUGGCAUGGAUACUGGACUGUUUAAAGGACCUCAGGUGACUGUAAUAUGCAACCUGGGUAAGAGCUGUAAGACGUGUCCACCGACCUCCUAUCAGCCUCCGGACGUCAGUGUCCCUGGAGGACUGAACAGAGAUGGAGAGACGAGGAAUCAGGCCCAGCUCGACUCCAGGGUCCCCACUGCCUAUGGAAGUCCUCACCUGACAGUCCAGUGUCUUCAUGACCUGGUCCCAACUCCCCUUCCCAGCCUUGUCUUCCCAAACCCUCCAAAGCCCAGCUUCAAAGCCACCUCCUUCAGGAAACCUCCCCAGGACUCCUUCCUCCCUCCAAACUCUCAUUGCUGGAGACGUUUGUCUCUUCUUCUCUCUGAUGGCAGCUAUCUUGCCUAGAUCUUGUCUGUUUUGUCUAACAGCUGUCCCCGAUCCUUCUCCAAGUAUUCUCACAUAGUCUCAGAUGUUAGCACAAGAACUUUGGGCAGGACCAUGGAAGUGUCAUCAACAGAUUUCAGACUGGAUUUAAGAUGGAGCCUGGCAGGUAGGAGAGUGAGCACCAGAGAGUCCGGGGGUCAGUGGCUUUCAUCCAGGCAUACCAAAACCGGAGCAGGUAAACCAGGAACGCACAUGGUGGCGAACAUUCAUGCCCGUGCCACAGACACCCAUAUAGAUGCCCCUGGGUAUAGGGGACCAUCCCAGCUUGGCUCUAACCCAUCUUGAUAAAGACCAUGGACCCAGUGUCCCAGAGCAAGCAAGUCAAGCCUGAGACAUCUUUAGGGGCGGUAAAGAAUAGUGGAAAUUGCUUGGGCUUUGGACACAGAUAGACCUGAUUUGGAAUAUCUCUUUAAUCCCCCACUCCUCUUUAUCUGCACCCAUCCAUCUGGUCCAGGCCGCGGCAGUUCUCCGAGGCUCACCACACAGCAGCUUCCCCGCUCUCCCACCUCCACUGACAUCUGCUUCAAUCUACUCUUCGCUGCUGCCAGAGUCGUCUCCUUUAUAAGAUGCAGAUCUGCUCAGGGUGCCUCACCUAAAACCCUGCAAUGGCUUCCCAGUGCCUGGAAGGGGGACUGUCUUGGGUCCCUAGGAAAUGUCGUCUGCGACUGAGAUUGCAUGUGGGUGAUUUUGCGGGGAGUGCUCUCGGGAUGGGCACCUGUAAGGAAGGGAGCAGGCUUCAACGGUGGAAGAAGUUGAACAGUUCCAGCUGAGCCUCAGCUGACCCCACGGGAUCUCUGGAGCUGGGAUGGCCCUUUGGAGUUGUCCCAAAUCAAAGCAAGGCGGCCAGGUCUGUGUGCUCCUGUAUCAGCCAGUCAUCAGCUGUGGGUUGCCCCCAGAGUAAGGCAUCUCCCUUUGACAGACACCAAUGCCCAGUUAGGGGCCAUCAGCAGCCAACACUCCCGGCAGCUGGAGGAAUGAGGACCCUGGUCCUGAGGGGUGUCUGAGGGUGUCCAGCAGAAUCUACCAUAAGGAUAAAGUCAGAACUCCUCACUGUGACCCACGAGGCCCUCAUGGUCCGGUCCCAGCCAUCCCUCCAUCCUCAUCUACCCCACUCUCUCAAUCUCUGUGCUCCAGCCUUUUCUGGAAUAUAACAUGCUCCAUUCCCACCUCCAAGCCUUUGCAUUUGAUGUUCCUUUUGCCUGGCACAGUGUGGCUCCCCUGUCACCCAGAUAACCUUUCUUCAUCCCUCAGAUCUCAGCCUCAACAUCACUUCCUCAAGGAGGCCUUUUCUGAUUACCCCACCAGGCUAGGUUCCCCCUUAUCAGCUCAUAAACUCUCCUACUUGCCCUUCCAAUUACUUAUCCCCUGUUGUAAAUAGCCAGCUGUUCGGUGCUGGUCUCUGCUGUUAGAAUGCGUGUCCUGAGGGCAGGGACUGAGGCUGCCUUGCUCACCACAGCAUCUCCAGCGCUCGGUGCGAUGCCUGGCACAUAGGAGGCAUUCAGCAACACUGUCAGGUGAAUGAGUACAAGGCCUUGGACGAGUUCUCUGUGAGUCUCUGUCGGCUCAGUAAAGUAAGCACGGCAAGCGUAUUUUGCCAGGUUGCUGUGAGUAUUACGUGGGUCGUCUAGCAGAGACCUUAGACUCUCGACUGAUGCUGGGUCCCUUCACUCAGGGAAGUGAAGUCACCGCAGGGACCAGUCGUCUCCGUUUGCCUGAGACUGAGGGGCGUCCCGAGAUGCGGGACUUUCAGUACUAAUACCAGGAUGGUUCCCAGGCACACGGGGAUGGUUGGUAGCCCUAAGUGUGGGUGAGAAGGGAAGAAGGGCUGUUCGUAUUCACACACUGUUCACUGGUACACUGGUAAACAGCUCGUUGGAAAAACAAUCAACCCUGAUUCAUAGUGUUGGCCAAUUUCCAUCAUAGAAUUAUUCGCACCAUUGCCAGUCAAGCUACCAACAGUGGAACAGCCUACUUGCAAAGUCUCUAAAAAUUUAACAGUGGGCUCUCAUGAGCCGGUAGGAGCUGGUGCCAGCACCCCAUACUUCAUACAGACUGUCACGUGCCUGGUAUCUGCAAAUGGUCACCGUGGUCAUAGACAACCUCAACUCGGGUAGGUGAGAAUAUUUCAAUCCUCAGAAGGUGACAGUGGAGUGGACCUUGGAGACCAUCUAGCCCAAGGCAACAAGUAAUCUGUCACAUGAACCGUCUCUUCCCCAUCCUGUGACCACAACAGACGUUGCUAAUCCACCCUGAUGCUGAGUACUCAUGUGGCCAAGCAGCCUCCCCUCAUCACAUCUCCAGGCAGCCAUAGUCAAUGAGCUGGUGUUGCUUGUGAAAGAAAAUCAGCUUACUAUUAGGAGUAAGUACAGUUCAGUCAUUUCAUUAUACAAAGGAGGAAGCUCAGGCACAGAGAGGUAGAGGGACCUGCCCAAGGCCACACAGCCGCCUGGUAGCUCAGUAGCUCAGCUGGGACUAAAGAACAGAUCUGCGGCCUUGCUUGCCUUUCAAUUCUGCCUUGCCUUGAAGAGCUGAAUACCCCAGAGUGCGGAGGAACAAAGGGAGAUCAUUUGGGAUCUGAGCCUAGAUUCUAGAGAAUUCUGCUUAGAGCCCCCAAAUGCUUUUUUGUACCCUAAGACUUCUUACCAUGUCUGUAUAUAAAUGUUAUUUAUGUGUUGGGACAGAGGGCACUUUUUAAAAAAUUACAAAAGUCACAUGCUCAUUGCAUAAAAUUCAAAAAGAAAGGAGUAUUUAAAAUAAGAAAACCCUGUACUGUCUCCCCAGGGGUAAUUGCUGUUAACAAUUUAGGUCCUUCCAGGCCUUUUCCAUUCAUUUACAAGCCUAUGCAUGAAACAAAUAACAAAUAGACUAAAAGGUCAGCUGUUCCCCGCCCUACCACUAUCCCCAUCACUCAGAACACUGCCUAGCAGGCAGUAGGCUCUCAAUAAGUAUCUGUCCAGUGGCUCUUUUUCAGUUAAAAUGUCUUCCAUUCCUUUCCGUGUGAGUAGAGUGGGUCUGCCUUUGUCUAAGGGCUUCAAUACUUUAUGGCGUGGUCUCAGGAGCUCGUGUAACAGUCCCUUUGGGCGGGCAUUUAGACUGCACUCUGUUUUUCCUGUAACAAUCCCAAGGCCUUGCUCUGUCCCCACUGCAGGGUGGCACCAAAGUCUCUUCCCAUGGCUCCAAAUGCUGCCGCCUGUCAGUGCGCCGCUGUCUCCGGUUUCCCAGGAUCCCCCAUCAGCGCCCCAAAGCAGAGAAGCCGGUGGCAUUUGCGACCAGCUCCCGAGAGCAGGGUCGGGUUGCAGCAGGUGUAGGACAAGUCCCUGCAGCCUGCAGGGUUCCACCACCCCCACGUCCCGAGGCUGCUGCCCCGGAUGACGCCCCACAGCUCCAACGAGAAGCCAGGGAUUAACCAGGUGACGCUGCCUGGUGCUGACAGCCCAGGGGCCCGAGUCAAAGCCCCUUCGCCAGGCCCCGGGUCAGCUCAGCAACCCUGAGGGCCUUGGAAACCAGAAAUAACUGGCUGUUGGGGAGGCAAAAGGGAUCAAGGGGAGAGGGUCUCAGUUCAGAAGGAGGCCCCUCUGUUUGUAUGCAGCGCUGCCCACAACCCUCAUGCCCACGUGGCACAUCUAACAGGCCUCUGUCACCCACGAUGUCCAACACCAAGCUCCAGACCUUCCCCCCCGCACCCCUCAUCCCGUCUCAGUUCAGGGCAACGCCAUCCUUCCAUGGCUCAGGCUGAAGCCUUGGAACCAUCCUUGAUUCCUCUUUCUCAUGCUCCCCCAUCCAAUCUAUCAGCAAAAUCUAUCAGCUCCACCUUCAAAAUGGAUCCGGAGUUCAACCACUUGUCUCCACUCCUGGUGACAAGAUGGUGGUCCAGGCCAUCACUGUUUCUCACCUGUUUUAUUGCCAUAAACUCACUAAGUGGUCUCUCUGCUUCUACCCUUUUCUGUAUCACCUCCUGUCCCCCUGUCUCUCAACACAGUAGCCAAAGGAAUCCCUUUAAACGAAGUCAGAUCAUGUCACUUUGAUGGUCCCCGUUUUUCUCCAAGUAGAAGUCAAAUUCUUACAACGGCCUGCAAGCCUCUGCAUGAACUGCCCCUGCUCCACACCUUCCUGGCACAUACUGUCCUCUGUACAUCCCAUCAUGGGCACAUACUGUCAGGUUGUCCUGCCAUCAAUGAUAAGGAAUUGGAUGACUUUGUUAAGAUGUUAUCUCUAAGGGAUUCAAACUUCAUUGAAAAUAAAAGUAAUAAAAACAUUGUGCAUGCCAUACAGCAUUCCCGGCACAGCUGUGUGUAGCCCUCAGGCCUUGGCGUGUGGUCCCCAUUCUACACGGUCCUUAGCGAUGGUGUCCAGAGCUUGAACACCUCUGGGCACAAGGUACUACCGCUUGCAUGAGGGGAAGGGGUUCAGGAGUUCCCACUGCCCCUGGAUGGCUCUAUGGAUUUUGCCAGGCGGGUCUUGGCCACUCAAAGCAGUUAUGUGGGAGCCAGUCGGGGUCCUGGAUGUUUCGCUCGUUACCGGACCCAACUGCCCACCUUCUCUGUAGCUCUAGCUUGGAAAGGGAUAGGAGAGAACAAGGACAGCCCCCGGUCCUUGGCAGUCAGCAACCCUGUCCCCUUACCACACACGGCACCCUCAACCAGGGCCCUCAGAAGAUCAGACUGGACAUUCCUCAAAAGGGUGUGGCCGCAAGGGCUGGUCCAGGGAACAGCUGCUGGGGACAUGGAAUUAGCAGACCCUGGAAACAAGCAAGCUCAAUGAAUCCCGAGGGCCUGGCCUUGGACAGGGGCACGUCUGCAGACACUUGGCCAGCUGGACUCACGCAUCACAGAAAGGAAGGCUAUAGAGAGGAAAGGCUAAUUAUGUCCACUUCCCUGUCUUGCUGAGGGUCCACUCUGCUCCCCAGGGUCCCAGAGAAUGCCAAAAGCUGCCACGACAGCAACUCAGCUGGCUGUUGUAUUGACCCCUGGCUGUGAUCUGGGAUGAGAUUUUCAAGAUGAGGUUAAAUUAUGCUGAUUCUACAUUCGAAAUGGAACCGUGCCUGGCAUGGGUUCCAUCUACACUGGCAAGACUCAAGGCAGAACGAGGGCCGGGCUGAUUAACUGCUCCAGAGUCAAAAUCCAGUUUUUGUGCUGAAAUAUUCUCUCCAAAAUAGGGACAGCUGAGGUUCAGGCCAUCCUGAAUCAGUUCACUCUUUGGAGUGUGAAGGAAACACAGAAAAGAAAAGAUCUGUUUCAGCGUUUUCCAUGUGCCAGGCAUUAUUUAAGUGCUUCUUCUGUAUCAGUUCACUUCAUUUUUCAAUCAUAUUUUGAGGGAGAUUCUGACAUCCGUAAUGGAAAGAAGGAAAUGGAAGCUGAGAGAGGUUACAUGAUGUGCCCAUGUUCAUAGAACUGAGAAGUGGCACAGCUGGGAUCUGAACCCAGAUCUGGCUCCUGGAAGCCCCAGGUGCUUAAGUACCACGUGCCUCCUUCGGUAUCACCAGACUCUCUUAGGACGUCUACACUUGACGUUUAAUAGCAAUCAAGAAGUUUUAAGUUGAAAGACAUUCUUUUUAAAUCUAAAAAACAAAAACAAAAAAAUCACACUAGAACUAAAAAAUUAAUUUAGCAAGGUGAAAGGCUUCAGAGUCAAUAUGUAAAAAUAAGUGUAUUUCUACUGCCUCACGAUGAAAAAUUGGAAAAAUGAAAUUUAAAAUGUAAUUUACAAUGUCAUAAAAAAUACUUAAUUUUACUCAACAAAAGAUUUGUAAGACACUGAAAACUCCAAAACAUUGCUGAAUGAAAACUAAAGAAGACGUAAAUAAAUAGGGAUAUUUUCCUUAUCUAUGGAUUGGACGGCUCCCUGCUGGUAAGAUGUCCAUGCUCUCCAAGUUGAUGUAUAGAUCUAAUGCAUUUUUAAUCAAAUUCCCAGCCAGCCUUUUUUGUAGAAAUCAACAAGCUGACUUUAUAACGUCAAUAGAAACGGAAAUGACCUAGACUAACCCAAACAGUCUUGAACAAGAAGAACAAAGUUGGCAGAUUUACUCUGAUUUAAAAACUUAAUAUAAGCUCCAGUAACCAAGGCAGUGUGGCAUUGGCACAAAGAUAGACAAAUAGAUCAAUAGAAAAGACACUUCUUCGGGGAGCAAAUAAAUAAAUAAAUAUGGAGGUUAAGUUGCUUCAAGAAACACAUAUCACAGACCCAGAUAAUGUGACAGCAGGUACUGCGCAGGCCCCGAUCCUGGCAAAUUCGUUCAGCUCCCAUGUUCAGGCAGUGGGGCUAAAAUGAGCUUCAGUCAUCAGCUUUGGGCGGGAGAAAGAAAACUGUAUCCAGAGCCCAAAACCUUGGGUUUUUGAUCCAUUUAUCAUAGUUAAACAUAAAAAUAUCAUCUUUUCAGCAUGUAAUCAUAAUAAAAGUACUAACCACAUGCCAAAAUCUGUUCCAAGUGCUUGACAUAUAUCAAGGCAUCAUUUAAUUCUCUCCAGAAGAUAGAAUAAUAAUUCUAUCAACAAGAUCAAAUAAAAGAGAAAAUAGCAAGUCCCACAAUAGGAAGGGAAAUAUUGUUUUGUAAUGAUUUGUUUCAGUUUUACAUUUGUGUGCACGUAUGCAUAGAAUUACAAUGUGAAAUACGUAUCUUACAGGGUUGUCAUCAUAAAAAUGUGAAAGCCAUGAGUGUAGUAGAUGAGAGAGUUGUUCAGUCUAAAUAAUGGGAUGCAUGUAAGAGUCUUAGCACAGAGCCUGGUACAUAGUAAAGACUCGAUAAGUGGCAGAUACAGUCAUCACUGUUGUCAGGGUCAGCUUCGUGGGCAUUCACUCCGUGCUGUCACACAGGGCUCUGCUCUCAGAAGGAAGUGCACUUGGUUUAAUGUUCUGUCGCCAUCUUGAAUUCCUUAAUGAUUUUGAAGAUGGAACCCUGCAUUUUCAUUUUGCGCUGGGUCUUACAAAUGACAUAGCCAGUGCUGACUAUUUGUAUAGUUGUUUAUCACUUAUGAAAAUAUUUAUAACGUGAAAUAUUUAAUAACCAUUUCUUAUUAUCAAAUUCUAUCUCUGCCUCUUACUGGCCAGAGGACGAUGAGUGAGAAUACUUAAAUGAUCUGUGUCUCAGUUUCCUUGUCUAUAAAAUAGGGAUAAUAACAGUACCUCCCCAUAAAGUUGUUGUCAAGGUUUAAAUAACACAGCGUAUGUCAGAUGCCAAGGACAGCACAUGGCUCAUGGUAAGCCCUCCAAAAAUGUUGGCCAUUAUUAUUAUUAGCUUUAUGAAAAAAAGUCAACCUUGGGCCUGGUUUUCCCACUGCACAUCUUGGGGGGCAUUACUGAACCAGAUCAGUGGUUCUGGAACUUAUUUGAGCACCAGGUUACUUUGAGAAUCUGAUGGCUCUCCGAGGAAAUGCCCCUAAGAAAACCACAGGCUGUCCAUGCGCACACGCCCACAUCUUGCCUGCACGCGCACAUCUUGCCUGCAAUUUCAGCGCGUUCAUGGGCCUCUGAGGCCAAGGCACAGGUCCCAGAUGAAGAACUGCGGAAAGCAAAGAUCACUAAUGGCCCUUCUAGUCCCGGGGUCUGUUGGUCUCUGGGGUGGGAACAGCCAGGCAGCCACGCAACACAUUACAGGUUACUACUUAAGGGUCUGGUGUAUGCUUGCUUUGGCACUUUAAGUCAGUGGCUAUUUUUAGCUUUGCUAUAUAUGGCCAGGGGAGGAAUAAGCACUAUAGGUGGGGGAGGGGGCCCAGGAGGCUCACAGCAGAGCUGGGGAGCCGGAGCUCCUUUGCCUUCGCCACCUUCCCCUUCCUGCCAGAGAAGUGGAGAGCUUAACCUCCAGCCAAAGUGAGCGCGGAGGAGAGGGAGGGGCUGUGGAGGUAGGAAUGGCAGGGGCUUCGAUGAAGAUGCCAGCUGAAGUCACUUUACAACAGUGCUUUUCAAACUUUUUGAGCAUGACCUGCAGUAGGAAAUACAUUUGACGUCGUAACACAUACAUAAACACAGACACUUGUACACACACACACACACACAAUAUCUACAUAUAUCUCCAACUGAACAAAUGUUUCAGGAUACAGUGCCUUACCUUAUUUUCUGUGAAACACUCUGAUGUUUUCUAUUCUGUUCUGUUCUGUUCUAUUCUAAUCUGUUCUCUUCUAUUUUUUCAUCUUAAAAAAAUGCAGGUCAUGACUCACUAAAUUGUUUUCACCACUUAUUAAUGGGCGACACCUCCAGUUUGGAAAACUUUGGUUUAGAGAAGACGGUCACCGGCAACAUUUGACUGCGAGGUAACGUGGGGAGUGGAGGAAAUGGGACAUAUUGUCCCUUUGAUCAAUACUUCUCAAAACUGGAGAUAAGAUGCCAGUUUCAGCUUGCUCUCCCAGCUGCACUGCAGAGUGUGGACGUCCUGGUUUUUGUACGCUCUGUUCUCUCCACCUGGAGCAUCCGUCCUCCACCCUUGUUACCUGGCUCACUCCAGACUUCAGAGCCCGGCUUGCCUCUUACUCCAGGAAGCCUCCCUUUACGCCUAAGUCUGGUUAGGUGCCGGCCUCUUGCUCCCUUCAUCCCCGGUAUGCCCCUGCCUAGCAUCCAACAUGCUGUAGUACAAUUUCUUGUUAGAUUCUCUGGCAGGCAGGGGCCUUCCCCAUUCUGUUCAUUUCUACACCCCUCUGCCCCCAGUGUAGUAUAGUGCUGGCUUCAUAAUACUCACUCAACAGUUAUUGAAUGAAUUGAUGAUAGUUAGUAGUAAUAAUAGCAACUACCAUUUAUCGAGUACUCCUUUAUCCCACGAGAAAUCUUAUGAGAGAUUAGUACAAGUCCAUUUUAUUGACGAGGAAACUAAGGCUCCAAGAGAUUAAGUAAUAUGGUAAGGCCAGAGCGAUAACCCAGGGCUGCCGACUCGCAACUGCUCCUAAUCUCAGGAUCUCAUUUGUCCACAUUCCCCUCAGCACUACACAGGAUGGGGCAAAGGGCAGGUCCUUAACAAACCCUCAGGGUACUGAUGACAGGUUGAUUAACGAGAUUUUCCGAAGCAGUGGCCACAUCUAAUUUUGGAGUGCUGCACCUCGUGUGUGGCUUUGGAGAGAGGAUCUGUGAGCUUUCCUGGCCCCUGGAUGUGGGGCCGUCUCGUUAAGCAGAAGAAUCUGGGCCUCUGACAAACCAGAGGAGCAGGUCUUCCAGUUUCCUGGCCUGAGGAGCCCCUGGACACACCUAGGAUAAAACCCAGGGUCCUGCAAAGCCCAAGUGACCUGGCCCACAACUCCACCGUCAGCUCCUGCCUGUUCCUUUCAUUCACUCUAUGCCCACCCCUCUGGCAUGCUUGCUGUUCCUCAAACAUGCCAAGCCCAGUCCUGCCUCAGGGCCUUUGCAAUUGCCAUUCCUUCUGCCUGGAAGUCUUUACUGCCUCCCUAGUCUUCCCCAUCCUGCUUCUCAGACCACCCUAUUCAAAAAUAUCACCCUCUUCCUUCUCUGCUAUUUUUACCAUCAUAUCAGUAACUUCUGGAAAUUACAUGUAUAUUUGUUUUCCAGUUUAUUUCUGUCUUCUUCACUAGACAGGGAGCUCCCUGAGGACUUUGCUUGCUCCCUGCCCUGGCCCCUGGACCUUGCUGCGGCAUGGUGCCUGACACAGUUCUUGCUCCAUAAUGUUGGUCGCAUGAAUGAAUGAAUGGUUUUCUCCUCUUUCCGACAUAGUGGGAGAUCAGUGCAGAGUUUCCCAGAAAUGUGUGUCCCUGUGACUCACAUCCAGGCCCUCACACACACCCUGGUUUGGAGAGGGGGAAGAGGGAAAGGAGGGAAUUGUCGGCACGUGCAGACUGCACCACUUUGCUUAGGGAACUGACGCCUGCCGGGCCUUCAAGGAUUAUCUCCACUCUAUAGCCAGAGAGACUGAGGCUUGCUCUCUGCUUGUCCCCAGGGCUUGGCGCAGUGUGGGGCAUACACAUCUCCUGAGUUGAACUGCACUGAAUUGCAGAGGUUCAGCAAACAGCUCGAGGUCACCGAAUUAGGAAGUGGGGAGCCAGAAGUUGUCUUCACCUCUGUCCAAUUCCAGCCCAUGCUGUGCAGCCGCCAUUGUGCCCACAGAAAUUCCAGGGACAACCCUGUUAACAUCCAGACACAUUCAAGGAAGGGUCCUCGCCAGACACUCACCAAUUGGCAGCCCGGUCAGGAGCCCAUCCUGCACCUGAGGCUGCUCUCUGUACGCCCAAAGGCCUCAGUGUGAGCAAACCUUCCACCCUGGGCUGGCUAUGCUCUUUCCUGCCCCACCCCCAGUGCCCUCCCAGACUGCCCACCUCCUGCCCUCACCAUAAGGAAGGGAGACUCGUGACAAAUAUAAUAUACCACGAUGCCUUAUGAUACCAAAUAUGUUUUUGUAAUUAGCCAUAGUUUCGAGUUAUCUGCGUCA